ensembl:lncRNA
GAUACAUUCACUGUAUUCACUGGCUCCACUAAUGAGCUUAGAUUUAUUAUGCUCGGCGGUGAUGAAGACCGUAUGGAUGCUGCAUGUGACAUCAUUCUUAGGGAAAGAGCCAAAAGAACUGAAAUACGGAACAGAAAAGGUCAUGUGUUUGGCAGAAAGAUCUGUGUGGUGAAAACACCUUCCACCUGCAUGAGUCAUAAGGCAUCACGUUGUUGCUUUGAAUCAAGAGACAAAUCUAUGAAAGAUGAGAUGGUAGAUUAUGCAUCUCAGGUCUUUCCUGGACCGCAUGCAUUUCUGUUAGUGGUCAACAACAGGAAAGUGACUGAGAAGGAGCAUAAUAUUUCAAAAGAAAUUGCCAACGUGUUUGGCAAAGAAGCUCUAGACUAUGUUGUGUUAUUGAUCAUUGGAAGAACUGAACCGAAAGGGAUCGACAGUGUCAGGAAGCAUGUGAAUAGGUGUUAUACAUUAGAGGACAAUGAGCAAAGUGUUCAAGGUCUAUUCAGAGAAACUGAAAUAAUGACACAAAACAAGGAAUCCACAUUCUUUAUUCAGUCAUCAUAUGAAAAACUCAUGAAAAAGGCAUUUUUAUCAUGGGAAAAGGAAAAACAGGCAGAAAUGAGAAAAGAAAAUGAGAGACUUUUAAAGAAGAAAGAAGAACAGCACUCCGAAAAAGUGAAUGAAUUAACAGAAAAGUUCAGAAUUAUUGAAAACAAACUAAGAAACGACAUAGCAGAAAAAGAUGACCAGCAUGCACAAGACAUGCUUAAAAUAGCAGAAACAGAGUAUAAUCAAAAGAGAGACAAAGAGACUUUGAAAUGUUUCAUGAUUGAUCAUUUUAUACGCAUAACCAGUCAGCAUGCGGUGCAACCGGUCAUUUCAAGUUCCCAUGAGAAUCCACUGAUUAAAAAAUUAGAGGCAGACAGUGAGACAAACCCAAGAAAUAUAUUUUCUUCAAUUAUUGAUGAUCUGGUAGGCAAGUUAAAGACUUCUGAAGAGACUGAGAGCUACUUGUUUGAAACUUUUCUUCAGCGCGAGAAUGAACAGAAAAAUAAAACUGAAGAACUCCAAGAAGAAGUUGAGCAACUCAAAGCAAAGAAAAGUGAGCUAGAAAAGAAACUGAUGGAAGCAGAUGAAAGAGAAACAUGGGCUAGUAAACAGGUGGAGGAAACACUAGAUAGAAAUCUGCCCACAGAUUUGGAUAAACUUCAAGGGGUUCUGGAUAGACAAGACAUACAAGAGGAGCAUAAAGAGAAAACACAUGUAAUCAGUGGAUCAGGACAUGAGUCAACUUCACCUGUCUUAUCUGAAGAAAAUAAAGACAGACCUCUAGAUAAAACAGUGAGAGAGAUAAAGAGCAGAAAGGAAGAUUCACAAGCCAGUGAAUCACACAACUCUGGAGGCUUCAAACUUGUGCGACGGAAGAGUAUUAACAAGCCACCCGAUAUGUCUGAAGAUCAUAGUGGAAAUAAAGAUUCACAAGCCAGCGGAUCAAUGACUGGAAGUGAACAUGGACAUCUACAUGUUCUCUGAAGAUUGUGAUUACAAAGAGGAAAAGACCACUGAAAACAAUUACUACACAAAAAGCAAAGUGGCAGAUCCUCCUUGAGUGUGAAACACCCAACAAAACAAGUAUAACAUUUUGCCAUGAUGGACAAUAUCUUGGAUUAGACUGUGGAUUAUGGGCAAUUAAACACCAAUGAAUUUAAAGAUAGUAUUAGUGCAUGAAAACCGAAAAUAAAAUAUACAGGAAACAAAAAAAGCAUACCAUAAUGUCUGCAAUAUGAUGUUUGUAACAAAGUUUGUUGCUGCCGCCGCCACCAUGUCGUGGAGAUGCUGUGUGCUUCAUUGUGAAAGCGAAACUACUUUGUUUGGCCUUCCAAAAAAGGAUGAUAUCCGCUUCGUCAUGCCUGGAGCUGAUCCGUGCUGGUCGCUGAGGAAAUACAUCAACUUCGCGCUGUGGAUCGCCGGAUCGGCUUUCACCGUGGACGAAGCGGAGUCCAGCCCGGGGUCGUCACAUGUGGUUGCCUCAAGCCCGCCGGACGCUCCUUCGUCGAAUCCGCCGCCUCUGCUCAAUCUAGUCCUCCGGCCGUUCCUCACUCUAGCCCGCAGGCCUCUGCUCACUCAGGCCCGCCGUGUGUAACGCUGUGUGUUUCAUUGUGAAAGCGAAACUACUUUGUUUGGCCUUCCAAAAGAGGUCACGACUAGAAAUCAGUGGUUAAGUUGUAUUUACAACACUGUUCCAGAACAGUUCAACCCAAAUAUUCAGAUGUGUGCAGCACAUUUUAUGGAGGACUGUUUCCUGAUCCUGGUAGAGUAGACUACAAUGCCUG